AACGCGAAGAACCUUACCUGGCCUUGACAUGCACUGGACCGGCGCUGAAAGGCGCUCUUCCCGCAAGGGACCGGUGCACAGGUGCUGCAUGGCUGUCGUCAGCUCGUGUCGUGAGAUGUUGCGUUAAGUCGCGCAACGAGCGCAACCCCUGUCCUUAGUUGCCACCAUUAAGUUGGGCACUCUAGGGAGACAAACCCUCUUUGAGGGUGGGAAGGUGGGGAUGACGUCAAGUCAGGAUGGCCCUUACGGCCAGGGCUGCACACGUGCUACAAUGCCCGAUACAGAGGGACGCAAGACCGCAAGGUGGAGCAAAUCCUCAAAAUCGGGCCCAGUUCAGAUUGAAGUCUGCAACUCGACUUCAUGAAGCCGGAAUCGCUAGUAAUGGCGUAUCAGCUACGACGCCGUGAAUACGUUCCCGGGCCUUGUACACACCGUAGUAC
rnacentral:rRNA from 1 species